ensembl:lncRNA
GGGGUGGGACGGGAUGAGAUAGGAUGGGAUGGGACGGGGCGGGAUGGGGUGGGGACAGGGAUAGAAUGGGAUAAGGCAGGGAAGGACAGAAUGGAGUGGGAUGGGAUGAGGUGAGAUGGGAAUAGGGUCAGAGGGGGUGGCACAGAAUGAGGUGGGGUUAGGAUAGAGCGCGGACAGGAGGGGAUAGAAUAGGGUGAGACAGUGCGGGAUAGGAUGGGUAUAGGACAGGAUGGGAUAAGAUAGAAUGGAGCGGAGUUGGACGGGGUGGCACAGAAUGGAGUGGGGACAGGGCAGGGUGGGAUAGGAUGGCGUGGGACAGAAUGGGAUAGGAUCAGAUGAGAUGGCACAGGUUGGGAUGGGGACAGGAUGGAGAUGGGACAGGGCUAGAAUGGAAUGGGAUGAGACGGGACAGGAUGGGAUGGAACAGAGUGAGAUGGGAUGGCACAGGGUGGGAUGGGGACAGGACAGGAUGAGGAAAGCAUCACAUGGAGUGGGAUGGGGAGAGGAAGGGAUGGAAUUGGAUCAGAUGGGAUGGCACAGGUUGGGAUGGGGGCAGGACAGGGACAGGAUCAGAUGAGGUGGGAUGGGACAGGAUGGGGUAGGGAUGGGACAGGGUGGGAUGAGAUGGGACAGGCAUAGGAUAGGAAUGGGAAGGGAUGGAAUGGGAUCAGAUGGGAUAGCACAGGAUAGGAUGGGGACAGUACAGGAUGGGACGAGGCAAUGAUACAACAGAAUGAGAUGAGAAGAGAAUGGGAUGAAAUAGCUUGAGAGGGGGUGGCACAGGAUGGGAUGAGGACAGGAUGGAAUGGGACAGGGAUAGGAUAGGAUGGGAUGGAAUGGGACAGGGGUAGAUGGGGUGGCACAGGAUAGGGUAGGGACGGGGCAGGACAGGAUGGAGUAUGAUCAAAGGGGAUGGCACAGGAUGGGAUGAGGGUAGGACAGGAUGGGGUAGGAUGGGAUAGAAUAGAGGUAGAACAAAAUGGAAUGGGAUGAAUAAUAAUAGGGGAUAGAAUGGAACAAAAAUGAAAUGGGAUAGCACAGAAUGGGAUGGGAACAGGACAGGAUGAGGACAGGGUCACACAGGGAGGAAUAGGGAUGGGACACAACAGGGUGGGGACAGGAACAGGUGGGAUGGCAUGGGUUGGGAUGGGGCAGGGACAGAUGGGGUGGGAUGGCGACAGGACAGGGUGGGACAGGGAUAGAAUGGGAUGGGAUGGGAUAGGAUGGGAUGGGAUGGGAUGGGAUGGGAUGGGAUGGGAUGAGAGAAAACAGGACAAAGUGGAAUGGGAUGGGGUGAGAUGGGAUGGAUUAGGGUUGGAAGGGAUGGCACGGGUUGAGAUGGGGACAAGACCAGAUGGGGUAAGGAUGGGAAUGGGAGAGGACAGGAUGGGACGGGAUAGGAUGGAAUAGGAUCAGAUGGGACGACGCGGGAUGGGGAGAGGACUGAAUGUGGUUGGGAUGGGGAUAGAACAGAAUGGAAUGGGAUGAGAUAGGAUAGGGCAGGGGUAGGAUAGGAUGGAAUGGGACAGGGUUGGAUGGGGUGGCACAGGAUGGGAUGGGGACGGGACGGGAUGAGGACAGGGUGGGAAGGGCGGCAUGAGGAUGGGAUGGGACAGGAUGGGGAUGGGAAGGGACGGGAUGGGGUAGGAUCGGAAGGGAUGGCACAGGACGGGAUGGAAUAGGGACAGAGGGGGUGGCACAGGUUGGGGUGGGGACAGGGCGGGAUCGGAUGGGGUGGGAUGGGGGUGGGACAGGUCGGGAUGGGACGGAACGGGAUGGGAUGAGAUGGAUGGGACGGGAUGGGCUGAGAUGGGAUGCGACGGGGUCAGACGGGGCGGCACAGGUGGGGACGGGGACGGCGCAGGGACGGUCCGGGGGCGGGAAGGGGCAGCGUAGGAUCGGAUGGGAUCGGAUAGGGAUAGAGCGGGUCGGAACGGGACGAGAUAGGACAGGGAUAGGACGGGGCGGAACGGGCCGGGCUCGGAAGGGCCGGCACGGGACGGGACCGGCCGGGUCGGCAC